rnacentral:rRNA from 1 species
GAUGAACGCUGGCGGCGUGCCUAAUACAUGCAAGUCGAGCGAAUGGAUUAAGAGCUUGCUCUUAUGAAGUUAGCGGCGGACGGGUGAGUAACACGUGGGUAACCUGCCCAUAAGACUGGGAUAACUCCGGGAAACCGGGGCUAAUACCGGAUAACAUUUUGAACCGCAUGGUUCGAAAUUGAAAGGCGGCUUCGGCUGUCACUUAUGGAUGGACCCGCGUCGCAUUAGCUAGUUGGUGAGGUAACGGCUCACUAAGGCAACGAUGCGUAGCCGACCUGAGGGGGUGCUCGGCCACACUGGGACUGAGACACGGCCCAGACUCCUACGGGAGGCAGCAGUAGGGAAUCUUCCGCAAUGGACGAGAGUCUGACGGAGCAACGCCGCGUGAGUGAUGAAGGCUUUCGGGUCGUAAAACUCUGUUGUUAGGGAAGAACAAGUGCUAGUUGAAUAAGCUGGCACCUUGACGGUACCUAACCAGAAAGCCACGGCUAACUACGUGCCAGCCGCCGCGGUAA